rnacentral:snRNA from 1 species
CUACCUUAAACUAAUGAGUAAGGAAAAUAACAAGCUUGGGAUGAUGCCUGGUUCCUCACUACUCAUGUGAGAAGAAUUUUUGUAUGGAUAAAGAUCACCCCCUGAAGGACUCACCUACUUGCAUGAGAUCUCUAGGUGCAGUGAUUUGUCCA